AAAGCAAAUGUUGGGUGAACGGCUGUUUCCUCUUAUUCAAGCCAUGCACCUUACUCUUGCUGGUA